GAUUGAAUGGGCUUAGUGAGGUCUCCGGAUUGGCUUUGGGGAGCCGGCGACGGCACCCUAUCGCUGAGAAGCUGAUCAAACUUGGUCAUUUAGAGGAAGUAAAAGUCGUAACAAGGUUUCCGUAGGUGAACCUGCGGAAGGAUCAUUAUCGAAAUUAUUGGUGAGGGUUGUAGCUGGCCUUUCGAGGCAUGUGCACGCUCGAGCCCUUAAUCCACUUUACACCUGUGCACUUAAUGUAGGUCGCCCUUAAAAAAGGUGACCUACGUCUUAUCAUCAACCCAUCGUAUGUCUCAUAGAAUGUAAUCGAUAUCCUCGCCCUAAAAAAGCGUUGAUAAACUUAUACAACUUUCAACAACGGAUCUCUUGGCUCUCGCAUCGAUGAAGAACGCAGCGAAAUGCGAUAAGUAAUGUGAAUUGCAGAUUUUCAGUGAAUCAUCGAAUCUUUGAACGCACCUUGCGCUCCUUGGUAUUCCGAGGAGCAUGCCUGUUUGAGUGUCAUUAAAUUCUCAACUCCAAGGGUUUCACGACCUUUCGGAGAUUGGACUUGGAGGUGCUGGCCGCAUAUUGGUCGGCUCCUCUCAAAUGCAUCAGCGGAAUUCAACCUUUGGCUUCCGGAUGUCAGUGUGAUAAUCAUGUUGCGCUGUCGUUUGAUCCCUCAGAGUCCGCUUAUAAUGGUCUUCGGACAAAAUCAUCAUCAAAUUUGACCUCAAAUCAGGUAGGACUACCCGCUGAACUUAAGCAUAUCAAUAAGCGGAGGAAAAGAAACUAACAAGGAUUCCCCUAGUAACUGCGAGUGAAGCGGGAAAAGCUCAAAUUUAAAAUCUGGCGGUCUUGCGGCCGUCCGAGUUGUAAUCUGGAGAAGCGUCUAUCCGCGUCGGACCGUGUACAAGUCUUCUGGAAGGGAGCGUCAUAGAGGGUGAGAAUCCCGU
rnacentral:rRNA from 1 species